AACUUCAGUAAGAAAGAGCUCUGACUGAAGUUGAGAUUUUCUCUCACUAGAAUUGGUGCUCUCAUCUAUCUCUAGACUUCUCUCUCUCUCUCUCUUCAUUCCCCUAAAUCUUGUGGUGUUUUCACUUCCAAUAUCCCAUAUGAUCUCAAAUACAUCCAUUCUACCGAAUAAAAUCAUUCCUAAUCUUUUACAAAAUCGGUGACUGAUUGGAAGGAGGUCACGCCAUAAAGGGAUCGGGGUCUCCCCUCUCCCUCCACUGUCUGACUUAAGGUGAGAGGGUGAAAAGAUCAAAAGAAAUUCAGUCAACACCUCCCCAAAAUUCGAGGAUAAUCAAGAGUGAAUCCAAACCAUCGUCGAUAUAAAAUUGUCAAUUGCAAAUACGUCGGGAAAUAGAGCGGCGGAUUCAGAGCAUAAGGGUUCUGGUUCUCCCCUUCUUUGACUCUCCGAUUAAAAGGGAGUGGUCGCCGUCAACCAAGGCAACUAGAAAACUAAGGAACAAACCAGGAAAUCCGGCGACCUUUCGUGUCUUUCGUCGUCUCUCUGGCGAAUACGAAAAGUUCAACCGGUGCAAAGGAAACUAGGGCAACUGUUUCGGGGAAGCCGAGGAGUCGCGCGUGCCGCCAACGGCUUUCCUUGGUAACAUCAAUUAAGCGUCGAUUUUUACACGUGGCGUGGGUAUUGGUUGACUUCUUUAAAUUGCUUCAGUUUCCCUUCUUAUUUUAAAUAAUCCUGCUACAAUCUGUGAUUAAUUUUGCCAUUGCAUGCAUGAAGGACUAAUUAAUCAUAUUAAUUAUGUUAGCUGAUUGCUAUUCCCAAUCGUGUCUCCCACCCCAUUAAUUUUAGUGUGUGAAUCUGUAGGCGGUUAACUCUAUCUUUUCUAUUUAUAUAUAUAUAUAUAUAUAUAUAUAUAUAUAUAUAUAUA